UACGGGGGGGGCAAGCGUUGUUCGGAAUUACUGGGCGUAAAGGGCUCGUAGGCGGCCAACUAAGUCAGACGUGAAAUCCCCAGGCUCAACCUGGGAACUGCGUCUGAUACUGGUUGGCUUGAAUCCGGGAGAGGGAUGCAGAAUUCCAGGUGUAGCGGUGAAAUGCGCAGAUAUCAGGAGGAACACCGGUGGCGAAGGCGGGUCUCUGGGCAGUAACUGACGCUGAGGAGCGAAAGCGUGGGGAGCGAACAGG
rnacentral:rRNA from 1 species